CCCGCAAAAAAGAAAUUGCUUUUUGGAUUGUAAAUCUUGGGUUUGUCAUAUAUGCAACAUAGAUCUCAAUCUUUAUGGAAAACCCAUUUAAUAUAAUCCACAUAUAUGGUCAAAUAACAUCAAAUCUAGCAUUAAAUAAUUGAUCAAAACUUAAAGAUUACCAGUUACUUGAAGAAUAACCAUAGAUCAACAUUACUGCAUCGGAAAAUUCGAUGUUUCUUUGUAUCCCUCUUGCUUUCGCCUGAGAAUCACGAACUUCGCGCAAAUAAACCCGUAUUGCUCCGCUAGCAAAAGGGUUCAUUUCGGGCAAUCCACCGUUUUCUUCAUAAGCUGCCCUGAGGCGCCCGAUAAGCGCGUCAAGGCUGCCCCAAGCUUGCCUAAGUGGACAAGUACACGGGCCAGCCGGAUCAGGGUGACCAAAGAAAACACAACCUUGUAGGUGCACCUUAGUCUUUCCAAACUGGUCUAGAUACCGUAGGAAAUCUAGUACAUGACUGUAGUUACAGUGUGACAAAGCCACAGGUGGUCUUUGGUUCUUUAAGUACUGCCCGAAAGUGUUCCAAUCGCGACGCUUCUGUGACUCAUAUCGGCUAAGUUGUGGUGGUGCUAGUGGUGGUUGCUUUGAAUCAGAAGGUAUAAUUAGGCCACCACCACUUCCUCCACCACUACCACCACCCCUUGAUGAACCCUCACCUAUUUCUGAUCUCCCAUUAAAAUUCUGAUCACUAGACAUUAGAUUUGAGCAAGUGAUCAGUUUUUUUAUGAGAAAAAUGGGUAAUUGGCUUAGAGAGAACCAAAAUAGGCAUUUAAAGAUAUGAUAUAAUUGAAGAGAGAUGAGAAAUCAAAAUGGAA
rnacentral:lncRNA from 1 species